rnacentral:rRNA from 1 species
GAUGAACGCUGGCGGCGUGCCUAAUACAUGCAAGUCGAGCGAACAGACGAGGAGCUUGCUCCUCUGACGUUAGCGGCGGACGGGUGAGUAACACGUGGAUAACCUACCUAUACGACUUGGAUAACUUCGUGAAACCGGAGCUAAUACCGGAUAAUAUAUUGAACCUCAUGGUUCAAUAGUGCAAGACGUGUUUGCUGUCACUUAUAGCUAGAUCCGCGCCGCAUUAGCUAGUUGGUAAGGUGCAGGCUUACCGUGGCACCGAUGCGUAGCCGACCUGAGAGGGUGAGCCUCACACAUGGGAGGGAGAGACGCUCCAGACUCCAACGGGAGGCAGCAGUAGGGAAUCAGACGCAAUGGGCGAAAGCCUGACGGAGCACCGAAGCGUGAAGGAUGAAGGUCUUCGGAUCGAUAAACGCUGUUAUUAGGGAAGAACAAAUGUGUAAGUACCUAUGUUCGUUUUGACGGUACCUAAUCAGGAAGCAACGGCUAACUACGUG